rnacentral:rRNA from 1 species
AUGUCCGGCCGCGGCAAGGGAGGGAAGGGGCUGGGCAAGGGCGGAGCCAAGCGCCACCGGAAGGUGCUGCGGGACAACAUCCAGGGCAUCACCAAGCCGGCGAUCCGGCGUCUCGCUCGGAGGGGCGGCGUGAAGCGCAUCUCGGGGCUCAUCUAUGAGGAGACCCGCGGCGUGCUCAAGAUCUUCCUCGAGAACGUCAUCCGCGACGCCGUCACCUACACCGAGCACGCCCGCCGCAAGACCGUCACCGCCAUGGACGUCGUCUACGCGCUCAAGCGACAGGGACGCACCCUCUACGGCUUCGGCGGCUAG